GAAUAUUGGACAAUGGGCGAAAGCCUGAUCCAGCAAUGCCGCGUGAGCGAUGAAGGCCUUAGGGUUGUAAAGCUCUUUUACCCGGGAUGAUAAUGACAGUACCGGGAGAAUAAGCCCCGGCUAACUCCGUGCCAGCAGCCGCGGUAAUACGGAGGGGGCUAGCGUUGUUCGGAAUUACAGGGCGUAAAGCGCGCGUAGGCGGCGAUCUAAGUCAGGGGUGAAAGCCCGGGGCUCAACCCCGGAAUUGCCCUUGAGACUGGAUUGCUAGAAUCAUGGAGAGGUGAGUGGAAUUCCGAGUGUAGAGGUGAAAUUCGUAGAUAUUCGGAAGAACACCAGUGGCGAAGGCGGCUCACUGGACAUGUAUUGACGCUGAGGUGCGAAAGCGUGGGGAGCAAACAG
rnacentral:rRNA from 1 species